UCCAGAAGUCUUGAGAGGAGUCAGCGGCCAAGCUCCAUGUCUUGCAGCCAAACAAUGCUGUGGGAUGGAAGGUGGGAUGUCAUGUGUCUGGUUUACAGCACUCACGUAUCAGUUGGCAGUUAACGGAAGUGCUACUGAUUGUAACAGUGGAAGCAAUUUGAAAUGAAAUACAACACUUAAAGCAAAUGAAACGGAAGUGAAUGCCAGCAGUAAAUGGCAAGAAGAAAUCCAGUUCAGUGUGUUCCUCAGAAAUCUUGCCUCUUGGGACUAAAUGCUGCAAAUGUAACUCUUAUCCUUGUUUUUCAAGUUUUACCAUCUCAAAGCUAUCCACUUUAUAUUAAAUUAGUUCUGUUAUAUUAUGUCAAUUUGUAUUCUUAAGAGCACAAGUUUGGCCUCAAAUAGACCUGAGCUGAGAUCCAAUUCUUUAAUUUAUCUGUGUUGUUUUCUUUUUCCUUAGCUUUAAAGUGGAAAAAAUGCUACUUACAUUUUAUUUAUGAAGGUUAAAGAUAAAGUGUCUGAUAUGGGACCUAUCAUAUGUGGUAGGCACUUAGUACAUGGUAGCAAUUAUGAUUAUUAUAUCUGAUAUUAGCAUUAUUAUUAUGAUUUGUUUUAAUCUUCAAAGUAUCAACUGUUUCUAUUACAUUUGUGGUAAAUACUCCUAAACAGAGUUUUUAAGUUCAAGUGUCCAAAGUUGUUAGAAACAAAGAUAUUUGACAAUAACAUAAUCAUAUCACAUGACCUCAUGAUUUAACCACCUCCCAAAGUUGCCACCUCCUAAUAUUAUCACCUUGGGGGUGAGGUUUCAACAUAUGAAUUUUAGAGGAACAUAAACAUUCAGACCAUAGCAAUAAUGAAGAUAAAGAGUUUAUUCAUAGAUAAAUGUUAAGAAGUAGAUACUGUUUGUUAGGAGAAGUGUCCACAGUUAGGGAGAAGUUAGAGGUCUGGUGUCAUCUUUGAUUUUUGUGUUUCUUCCGGAACCCUGUUGCCUGGCUUCCUACACUAUUUCUUGUGUCUUUUUCUUGUAGCUAAACUUGAACAUUUUUUCCUUGAGUACCAUUUUACAAUCAACUGUGCUUUUAUGCAGUGGACUUUCACUGAAUGUCCCCUAUUGGAAAUUUUAACAACAAUUUAACAACUAUUUAUUUGAUACUUUCUGUAUAACCAAUAUUAUUGAACAUCCUAGGAACACAUACAUAAAUAAAACUUGAUCUCUGCUUUCAGAAAA
rnacentral:lncRNA from 1 species